GGCCCGCACCAGCAGCGGAGCGUGUUGCUUACUCGAUGCUACGCGAAGAACCUUACCUGGGUUUGACAUGACAGGAAAAGCCGUGGAGACAUGGUGUCCGAAAGGGUUUGUUACAGGUGGUGCAUGGCUGUCGUCAGCUCGUGUCGUGAGAUGUUGGGUUAAGUCUUGUAACGAGUGUAACCCUUAUCCUAUGUUGCCAGUGGGUAAUGUCGGGGACUUGUAGGAGACUGCCGGGGUCAACUCGGAGGAAGGUGGGGAUGACGUCAAGUCAUCAUGCCCCUUAUGCCCAGGGCUGCAAACAUGCUACAAUGGCCGGUACAGAGGGCUGCUAUCCCGCGAGGGUGAGCGAAUCCCACAAAGCCGGUCUCAGUUCGGAUUGGAGUCUGCAACUCGACUCCAUGAAGCUGGAGUUGCUAGUAAUCCCGGAUCAGCACGCCGGGGUGAAUACGUUCCCGGGCCUUGUACACACCGCCCGUCACACCACGAAAGUCGGCAACACCCGAAGCCGGUGGCCUAACCCCUUGUGGGAAGGAGCCGUCGAAGGUGGGGUCGGUGAUUGGGGUGAAGUCGUAACAAGGUAGCCG
rnacentral:rRNA from 1 species